AAUAAUCUAAAGCCCAAGACAAGACAAGACGAAGAGCCUUCCUAGAGAAGACAAGAGUUGGAAGCAAGAGGAAGCUUAUUCUCCCUCUCCUUACGCCGAAGCUGUUCUUGGAGGCGAUGUCGGGAACGUUCCAUUUGAAUUCUAGCUACGUCCCUGGUUACACACUUUCAGUUUCAGACAACAGGUGUUUCUCUAACCCUGCUGUUUUCAGUAGAACACCUGCUACAUUACAUUGCUCUUCUUCCUGUCUGGAACACAAGCUAAAUGGAAGUCUGAAAUGUGCCGCCGGUAGUAGUUCUUUUGUUUGCCGAGCGAGUUCUUCUGGUGGAUACAGAAGAAACCCUGAUUUCUCAAGGCUUAAUAAGCACGGAAGAAACAGGCAAAGCGUUGAUAGAGGUUUCGAUGGUGAAAACUCUGAUAUGUUAUCUUCAAGGAAUGGGUCUUUGCUCUCUCUGUCUAACUCCCCGAAGUUCCAAGCCACUUCAUCCCCUGGGCCAAGAGAGAAAGAGAUAGUGGAGCUCUUCAGAAAGGUUCAAGCUCAGCUCCGAGCUCGAGCAGCGGCUAAGAGGGAAGAUCAAAAGGUAGAAGAAGAAGAAGCUUCUAAAGGACAGGGUAAAGAAAGUGAAACUGUCGACUCCCUUCUUAAGUUACUAAGGAAGCACUCGGGAGAGCAGAGCAAGAAAGUUAACAAUUUUAACAGCCAUGGAGACAAUUCUCUACAAGUAGAUCCUGUGGACAGAAGGCAAGAUCGCAGCAGCGGGAAUAUUGUCAAGUCAUGGACCAAAGAUCAUAAUGCAUCAUCAUCCUUUACCAGGCCAGCGUCAAGCUUCAGAAGAAAGUCGCCGGUACCAAGAUUUGAAUCGCCUCCGGCUUAUUCUAACGAGGCAACUUUUGAUGAGGCGUCGAGUUACAGCGUGACUUGGACUCAUAAGAAGGAUACAGCAGAGUCGCAUGACGAACCUCAGGCUGAGAUUGAGCCCGAGUACGACGAACAUGCACCUGAAUAUGAGUUAGAUCCUGAGCCUGUGACAGCUAUUCUCGAACCAGAGUCUGAGCUGGAGGUAAACACAUCAUCAUUUUACCAAGUGGAGGAUGAUAAUGUUACUUUAGAUGCCUUAUCAGAUGCUGAUGAUGAGGAGUCUCUGGAUGAUGCUGACGAUGAAGAGGUUGAUGAAGCUGAGGAAGAACCUGUGAAAGACUUGAGUACAUUGAAGCUGAUGGAACUGAGAGGCAUAGCAAAAUCAAGGGGACUAAAGGGGUUUUCAAAGAUGAAGAAAGCCGAACUCAUGGAGUUGCUUGGUAGACACUCCAGCUGAUUUUGACGGUGAAUGAGACUCAACAAAUAAUCUGAACAUUUGCUCUCGUUGAUGACAAUGUUGAAGUGAGUUAUUUUCUGCUGUUUUGCUCUCGUUGAUGACAAUGUUGAAAUAGUUUUAAGACGAUGGCUCACUUCAAAUCAAAGAGUCAUUUAAAGCACUGUAUUCUAAGCCAGGCCUUUUCUUUGAGGGGUCAGAUACUUGAAUCAAAAUCGUAAUUGGAGUCGGCUGAUGGCUCAUUCAAGGUGGGUCCGGUCAUAGCCAGUGUAAUCAGUCAAUCAAAAUGAUCACCAAUUUUUUCUGAUUGGUUACCUUCUUUAAUCCUUAGUUGGCCCUACUUGUAAGUCACGUUUUUAUCAUUUUAUACUUCUCACUGGUUUUCUGCUUGUUAAU